AGAACGAACGCUGGCGGCAGGCUUAACACAUGCAAGUCGAGCGCCCCGCAAGGGGAGCGGCAGACGGGUGAGUAACGCGUGGGAACAUACCCUCCGGUUCGGAAUAGCUCAGGGAAACUUGGAUUAAUACCGGAUACGGCCUAGCGGCGAAAGAUUCAUCGCCGGAGGAUUGGCCCGCGUUCGAUUAGCUAGUUGGUGAGGUAACGGCUCACCAAGGCGACGAUCGAUAGCUGGUCUGAGAGGAUGAUCAGCCACAUUGGGACUGAGACACGGCCCAAACUCCUACGGGAGGCAGCAGUGGGGAAUAUUGGACAAUGGCGCAAGCCUGAUCCAGCCAUGCCGCGUGAGUGAUGACGGCCUUAGGGUUGUAAAGCUCUUUCGCUAGGGACGAUAAUGACGGUACCUAGACAAGAAGCCCGGCUAACUUCGCGCCAGCAGCCGC
rnacentral:rRNA from 1 species